UGUGUUAUCAGGCUACCUGCUUGGCAUCUUGAAGAUCUUUUGUGCAAUUUCCCCAAUUAUCCCUAUUUGGAAAGAAAUGAAAAUGAACAGCCCCGCCAUGUUUCUGAUUCAGAUGUGGUUUGUGGUCAAGUACAAUUCCAGUAUGUUUGACAGGCACGGUGAGCAAACCAGGAACUCCAUGAAAUGAAGCAGUAAAGAGAACCCUGGAAUGGAACUGGUGGAAAACAAGAAGUGACUGUGACUGGACCUAAAUAAGAGCCCAUAUUCAAGUCUA